rnacentral:rRNA from 1 species
UACGAAGGGGGCUAGCGUUGCUCGGAAUUCACUGGGCGUAAAGGGUGCGUAGGCGGGUUUUAAGUCAGAGGUGAAAUCCUGGAGCUCAACUCCAGAACUGCCUUUGAUACUGAGAAUCUUGAGUUCGGGAGAGGUGAGUGGAACUGCGAGUGUAGAGGUGAAAAUUGUAGAUAUUCGCAAAGAACACCAGUGGCGAAGGCGGCUCACUGGCCCGAUACUGACGCUGAGGCACGAAAGCGUGGGGAGCAACAGG